rnacentral:tRNA from 1 species
GUAGUUCAGUUGGUUAGAGCGUCAGAUUGUGGUUCUGAAUGUCGUGGGUUCGAGUCCCACCG